GGUAAGUCUUAACCUGGGACCCAGAGCACAUCGUUCACAUCGAUGGGGUCACAGGUUCGAGUCCUGUUGCGACCACCA
rnacentral:tRNA from 1 species